AACGAACGCUGGCGGCAGGCCUAACACAUGCAAGUCGAGCGAGAAGCUAUCUUCGGAUAGUGGAAAGCGGCGCACGGGUGAGUAACGCGUGGGAAUUUACCUUUCGGUGGGGGACAACAGUUUGAAAAGACUGCUAAUACCGCAUACGCCUUUUUAGGGAAAGAUUUAUCGCCGAAAGAUAAGCCCGCGUUAGAUUAGGUAGUUGGUAGGGUAAUAGCCUACCAAGCCGACGAUCUAUAGCUGGUUUGAGAGGAUGAUCAGCCACACUGGAACUGAGACACGGUCCAGACUCCUACGGGAGGCAGCAGUGGGGAAUCUUGCACAAUGGGCGAAAGCCUGAUGCAGCCAUGCCGCGUGAGUGAAGAAGGCCUUCGGGUUGUAAAACUCUUUUAGAUGUGAAGAUGAUGACGGUAACAUCAGAAAAAGCCUCGGCUAACUUCGUGCCAGCAGCCGCGGUAAU
rnacentral:rRNA from 1 species